GUUCCUUCUCUGUUGCUCUCAACCCCUUCCUUUUCCUUGGACUCUUUCUUUCUCCAAACCGAUUACCAUGCACUAGUAAGUCACCAAAACGACCGAGCAAGCCUAGACCUAACCAAGAGACCUCUUCUAUUCUAAUGGUCUUGAUUCCAACGAGGACACCCAUAACAUAGUAACCCUGAAACCCUCUCAAUCGACCUCUAAAUGACCAAAACCAGUCCCUAAACCUCUCGAAGCCAAACCACAACUGCUCGUCUCACGAUCAAGAACCUGAACAGUAAUGGAGUCAAUGAGACUUCACUGGAACUCGCACAAUUCAGG